CACACUAAUCUCAUCUAUAGAUUCAAGAAAUUAAGCUUAACCAAAGUUGGAGAGAAAAAAAAAACAUAUCACAAGUAGAAUUUGAGAAACAGUAUUUUAAAUAUUUAUCAAACGGUUAAUCCUAAACAUCUAAAUACUGUUUAGGAGUAUUAAUUAAAUCUUGCCCAAGACUAUUUUCGGAAAAUUUGUUGACUUAAAUCUGUAAGCAGAAUAUCAAAUAAUAUAAAGAAUUGACAGCGGCGUAAUCAGGGAAAUCAUAGUUUAGGUCCUAAACUUUAGGAGUAUCAAAAGAUUUAAUUGUCAUGAUUAAUAUCAAUAAUUUGUUUUUCAAAAGUAUGAAUUGAAAUAAAUACAAACACCUUUUGAACAAAAAAGAAAAGAAAAGAAUAAUAAAUACAUACACCUUGCCCAAGAAAGUAACGCACCAGUCGUUGUUAAUGUUAAUUAAACCAUGCCGUAAUACAGAAGUCGUCGAAGACUAUUUUCCGUAAUUUAUUAUUCAGCUACCGAGAUCCAUCUUAUUUUAUUAAUUUAAAAUAAAAGGAAAUAAUUUAAAAUGGUGGAUAUUUAAACGAAGGAGUCUCCCGAAUAGUUAUUUUUUUGAAAAGUAUUUCCUCUUUUGGUUUAGUUUUUUCACUCUCUUCCCUCCGACGGGACUUUCUUCUUCGAGAGGAUGGAAGCGAUUUCUGGUUCCGUUAGAAAGCUUAUUUUUUUACUAUUUUUUCACACAUAUAUAAUGUCUCAGUUAGAUCUAGGGCAACCUCUCCUUCAUUUUUCAAUUGACGGCAAAGAACCAGCAUCCCUCCAGGAACUUCCUGUGUUGAUUAUCCUUGCUCUUAGAUUUAACGGAACGAGAUUCUGGUAACAGGUUUCAUGGCAA